GACAGAGGGUGCAAACGUUGUUCGGAAUUACUGGGCGUAAAGCGAGUGUAGGCGGUGUGGUAAGUCGGAUGUGAAAGCCCCGGGCUCAACCCGGGAAGUGCACUCGAUACUGCCACGCUAGAGUAUCGGAGAGGUUGGUGGAAUUCUCGGUGUAGAGGUGAAAUUCGUAGAUAUUAGGAAGAACACCAGUGGCGAAGGCGGCUCACUGGCCGGGUACUGACGCUGAGGCGCGAAAGCGUGGGGAGCAAACAGG
rnacentral:rRNA from 1 species